rnacentral:rRNA from 1 species
GCCGCGUCGACGAAGCGCGGGUAAGACCGCGUGGAGGACCGAACCCACCUAGGUUGAAAACUGGGGGGAUGAGCUGUGGGUAGGGGUGAAAGGCCAAUCAAAACUUCGUGAUAGCUGGUUCUCCCCGAAAUGCAUUUAGGUGCAGCGUCACGUGUUUCUUGCCGGAGGUAGAGCUACUGGAUGGCCGAUGGGCCCCACCGGGUUACUGACGUCAGCCAAACUCCGAAUGCCGGUAAGUGAGAGCGUGGCAGUGAGACUGCGGGGGAUAAGCUCCGUAGUCGAGAGGGAAACAGCCCAGAUCACCAGCUAACGGCCCCUAAGCGUGUGCUAAGGUGGGAAAGGAUGUGGAGUUGCUGUGACAACCAGGAGGUUGGCUUAGAAGCAGCCAACCCUUAAAAGAGUGCGUAAUAGCUCACUGGUCUAGCGCUCCUGCAACCGAAAAUGAACC